UCUCCGUUGGUGAACCAGCGGAGGGAUCAUUACCGAGUUCUAGCAACUCCCAACCCUUGCCAACCGUACCCCAGUCUGUUCUCGUUCCUUCUGGCCGGCCGGGCGGCGGGGCCUCCCGCAGGCCCCCCCCCCCCCCGCCAGCGGCGGCCGGCCCUCUGAACCUUCUCAAAAUCAAACACUCAACCCCUCUGAGCCAAAACAAAAAUGAAUCAAAACUUUCAACAACGGAUCUCUUGGUUCUG
rnacentral:misc_RNA from 1 species